rnacentral:rRNA from 1 species
CUCUUCUUGGUAAAAGAAGUAGGCUCUGCUCAGUGAAAUUUAAAUAGCCGCAGUAUCUUGACUGUGCUAAGGUAGCAUAAUAAUUUGUCUUAUAAUUGAAGGCUGGAAUGAAAGAGCUGACGACACCUAAACUUUCUCAAUAAAAAAUUUUGAAUUUGAUAUCUACAUAAAAAAGUGUAGUUUUUUAAAGGGACGAUAAGACCCUAUAAAGCUUUAUCAAAAAUUUGGUUUUACUAAUUGGUACUUAAAAACAAAUUUUGAUUGGGCUGGGGCGGCAACUAUUUAUUCAAUAGUAAAGGUAACAAAUUAUUUUUGUAUACAAAGAUCUUUUUUAGACCUAGAAUAAGCUACUUUAGGGAUAACAGCACAAUUUUUUUCUAUAGAUCGGAUAGACUAAAAAGAGUUGUGACCUCGAUGUUGAAUUGAGGGGCUUUCUCUAAGCAGAAAUAGAGAGAGAGGAGUCUGUUCGACUUUUAUUUCCUC